UCCCCCUAGUGGCGAGGUCUGACGGAGCACGCCGCGUGAGUGAUGAAGGUUUUCGGAUCGUAAAGCUCUGUUGUUAGGGAAGAACAAGUGCAAGAGUAACUGCUUGCACCUUGACGGUACCUAACCAGAAAGCCACGGCUAACUACGUGCCAGCAGCCGCGGUAAUACGUAGGUGGCAAGCGUUGUCCGGAAUUAUUGGGCGUAAAGGGCUCGCAGGCGGUUUCUUAAGUCUGAUGUGAAAGCCCCCGGCUCAACCGGGGAGGGUCAUUGGAAACUGGGAAACUUGAGUGCAGAAGAGGAGAGUGGAAUUCCACGUGUAGCGGUGAAAUGCGUAGAGAUGUGGAGGAACACCAGUGGCGAAGGCGACUCUCUGGUCUGUAACUGACGCUGAGGAGCGAAAGCGUGGGGAGCGAACAGGAUUAGAUACCCUGGUAGUCCACGCCGUAAACGAUGAGUGCUAAGUGUUAGGGGGUUUCCGCCCCUUAGUGCUGCAGCUAACGCAUUAAGCACUCCGCC
rnacentral:rRNA from 1 species